GUUUUUUUUUUUUUUUUUUAAGUAUCAGUUAAAUUUACAAUCACACAACUGAAAAUAUAACUAAAUAACCUUAGAAAUUGUAGCUUUUAGGUUUAACACAAAGUUUUAUAUUAAAAGGACAUCUAAAGUUAUUUUAAUUGCAAAAUUUCUUUAAUAAUAAUUAUAUAAAAGCCAUAUUGUAGGAAAAUAUACUUAUAUUGUUUGUAACAAUUGAAUUUUUUUUUUCAUAAGCUAUAACAAUUUAUUACUAUCAUUGCUAUCAUGGUUUAUUAAGGAGACUUAUA
rnacentral:misc_RNA from 1 species